rnacentral:rRNA from 1 species
GACGAACGCUGGCGGCGUGCUUAACACAUGCAAGUCGAACGGAAAGGCCCUGCUUUUGUGGGCUGCUCUAGUGGCGAACGGGUGAGUAACACGUGAGUAACCUGCCCUUGACUUUGGGAUAACUUCAGGAAACUGGGGCUAAUACCGGAUAGGAGCUCUUGCUGCAUGGUGGGGGUUGGAAAGUUUCGGCGGUUGGGGAUGGACUCGCGGCUUAUCAGCUUGUUGGUGGGGUAGUGGCUUACCAAGGCUUUCACGGGUAGCCGGCCUGGUAGGGUGACCGGCCCAAUGGGGACUGAGAUACGGCCCAGACUCGAACGGGAGGCAGCGGUGGGGAAUGGUACACAAUGGGCGGAAGCCUGGUGCAGCAAAGCCGCGUGGGGGGUGACGGCCAUCGGGUUGUAAAGCGCUUUCGCCUGUGACGAAGCGUGAGUGACGGUAAUGGGUAAAGAAGCACCGGCUAACUACGUG